rnacentral:rRNA from 1 species
GAUGAACGCUGGCGGCGUGCCUAAUACAUGCAAGUCGAGCGAACAGACGAGGGGCUUGCUCCUCUGACGUUAGCGGCGGACGGGUGAGUAACACGUGGAUAACCUUCCUAUAAGACUGGGAUAACUUCGGGAAACCGGAGCUAAUACCGGAUAAUAUAUUGAACCGCAUGGUUCAAUAGUGAAAGACGGUUUUGCUGUCACUUAUAGAUGGAUCCGCGCCGCAUUAGCUAGUUGGUAAGGUAACGGCUUACCAAGGCAACGAUGCGUAGCCGACCUGAGAGGGUGAUCGGCCACACUGGAACUGAGACACGGUCCAGACUCCUACGGGAGGCAGCAGUAGGGAAUCUUCCGCAAUGGGCGAAAGCCUGACGGAGCAACGCCGCGUGAGUGAUGAAGGUCUUCGGAUCGUAAAACUCUGUUAUUAGGGAAGAACAAAUGUGUAAGUAACUAUGCACGUCUUGACGGUACCUAAUCAGAAAGCCACGGCUAACUACGUG